rnacentral:antisense_RNA from 2 species
CUUGAUGGUGGCUGUACGUGGGGCGCCCUCGGGCGCGCCGGAUUGCUGAGUUUCCCGGUCUGCUAACCUGCGUACAGCUGCCACCCCU